GGCCUGCCCAAUGAGGAAUUAAAUGGCCGCGGUAAUUUGACCGUGCAAAGGUAGCAUAAUCAUUAGUUUUUUAAUUGAAAGCUAGAAUGAAAGGUUGGAUGAGAAAAUAACUGUCUCUAUUUAAAUUCAUUAGAAUUUUAUUUUUAAGUAAGAAAGCUUAAUUUAUAAUAAAAGACGAGAAGACCCUAUAGAGUUUUAAUUUAGUUGGGGUGAUUGAAAAAUUGAGUAAACUUUUUUUUUAUUUUAACAUUAAUUUAUGAAUAAUUGAUCCUUUAGUUAAGAUUAUAAGAGUAAAUUACCUUAGGGAUAACAGCGUAAUUUUUUUUGAGAGUUCUAAUCGAAAAAAAAGAUUGCGACCUCGAUGUUGGAUUAAAAUGAAAUUUUGGUGUA
rnacentral:rRNA from 1 species